rnacentral:rRNA from 1 species
CCUACGGGAGGCAGCAGUGGGGAAUAUUGCACAAUGGGGGAAACCCUGCUGCAGCAACGCCGCGUGAGUGAAGAAGUAUUUCGGUAUGUAAAGCUCUAUCAGCCGGGAAGAAGAUGACGGUACCUGAGUACGAAGCCCCGGCUAACUACGUGCCAGCAGCCGCGGUAAUACGUAGGGGGCACGCGUUAUCCGGAUUUACGGGGUGUAAAGGGAGCGUAGUCGGCAGUGCAAGUCUGGAGUGAAAGGCGGGGGCUCAACCCCCGGACUGCUGUGGAAACUGUACGGCUGGAGUGCAGGAGGGGUAAGUGGAAUUCCUGGUGUAGCGGUGAAAUGCGUAGAUAUUAGGAGGAACCCCAGUGGCGAAGGCGGCUUACUGGACUGUAACUGACGUUGAGGCUCGAAAGCGUGGGGAGCAAACAGGAUUAGAUACCCCAGUAGUC